rnacentral:lncRNA from 10 species
CACAGACAUGUUUUCAUUUCUCUUGGGUAGAUAUUUAGGGAUAGAAUUCUUGGGUCAUAUGGUAAAUUUAUGCUUAUCUGCUGAAGAAAUUGUCAAGCUAUUGUGAAAAGCAGCUGCAUGAUUUUACAAUCCCAUCAACAACGUCUAGGGUUCUAGUUUCUCCUAAGGAGUUUUAACGAGACGCAUAAUAUGGCUAGAUUUGUGCUUUAGGUAAAUCAAUCUGGUAGCUACUAAAAAUGAGACUGAAAAUAAUGAGCCUGUUUAGGAAGAUGUUGCAAUAGUCUAGCUGAGAUCUCUACUACGAUUCCCAACUAGACCAUUGGAGGAGAAGAUUAUCUCAGAAGAAGAACAAUGCUGCUGAAUAAGAACAGGUGAUUUGCUUCCAUCAGUUGCUCAGCCUUGGGAACGUGACUCACGGUGGUGUGAGGACAAAGCAGGUACCUGUCCGCCAGCCAGAUUAGCUGAGGAAAAUACACUUCAGACUCAACAUAACCAAUACCUGCCUUUCAAGGAAAACUCAUAUGGGGCUCACUGAUGAAACAAAGCGAGUUUGCAAAAAAAGAUUCGACAUAGUCAAUUCUUUGUACUCUUCAGUGAUGGUAGCUGCCUUAGUGGAAAAUGUGGAAAAUUACAGAUUGGGGAAAAGCAGCUGUGAAGUCAUAAUUAUGUUCACUUCCCACUGGCAACUGGCAAGCCCUUUAUUUUUGUGCAUUCGGAACUCACCAAGAAUAAAUAAAGUCC